UUGGAGGGCAAGUCUGGUGCCAGCAGCCGCGGUAAUUCCAGCUCCAAUAGCGUAUAUUAAAGUUGUUGCAGUUAAAAAGCUCGUAGUUGAAUUUCGAGAUCAAUUUGUUGGUCGUGCCUCGGUACGUACUGGCAAUUUUGAUUUCUCCCUUCUGAAGAACCAUGAUGUCAUUAAUUUGGUGUCAUGGGGAAUCAGGACCGUUACUUUGAAAAAAUUAGAGUGUUUAAAGCAGGCUCGCGCUUGAAUACAUUAGCAUGGAAUAAUGAAAUAGGACGUUUGAUCCUAUUUUGUUGGUUUCUAGGAUCGACGUAAUGAUUAAUAGGGAUAGUUGGGGGCAUUAGUAUUCAAUUGUCAGAGGUGAAAUUCUUGGAUUUAUUGAAGACUAACUACUGCGAAAGCAUUUGCCAAGGAUGUUUUCAUUAAUCAAGAACGAAAGUUAGGGGAUCGAAGACGAUCAGAUACCGUCGUAGUCUUAACCAUAAACUAUGCCGACUAGGGAUCGGAUGAUGUUAAUUUUUUAAUGACUCAUUCGGCGCCUUACGGGAAAC
rnacentral:rRNA from 1 species